UAGGAUGUUGGCUUAGAAGCAGCCAUCAUUUAAAGAAAGCGUAAUAGCUCACUAGUCGAGUCGGCCUGCGCGGAAGAUGUAACGGGGCUGAAAUAUAGCACCGAAGCUGCGGCAUCAGGCGUAUCACUAAUACGCCUUACGAUUAACAACAUGGAAUGGCGCGAAGCGACAUGAAAGGUUGUUCAAGCAACCCGAACGUUGAGUCGGGCAUCUUAGAGUGAGGAUGAUUAGUGAUACGCCUGUUGGGUAGGGGAGCGUUGUGUAAGCGGAUGAAGGUUAAUCGAGAGGUUAGCUGGACGUAUCACAAGUGCGAAUGCUGACAUAAGUAACGAUAAAACGGGUGAAAAACCCGUUCGCCGGAAGACCAAGGGUUCCUGUCCAACGUUAAUCGGGGCAGGGUGAGUCGGCUCCUAAGGCGAGGCUGAAAAGCGUAGUCGAUGGGAAACAGGUUAAUAUUCCUGUACUUGGUAAAGCUGCGAUGUGGGGACGGAGUAGGUUAGGUUAUCGCACUGUUGGAUAUGUGCGUUUAAGUUGGUAGGUGGGAAGUUUAGGCAAAUCCGGACUUCCUUAACACAGAGAGAUGAUGACGAGGCUCUACGGAGCUGAAGUAACUGAUACCACACUUCCAGGAAAAGCCACUAAGCGAAAGGCUUUACUAAACCGUACUGAAAACCGACACAGGUGGUCAGGUAGAGAAUACUCAGGCGCUUGAGAGAACUCGGGUGAAGGAACUAGGCAAAAUAGCACCGUAACUUCGGGAGAAGGUGCGCCGGCGUAGAUUGUAGUCCCUAGCGGGCGAAGGUUGAACCGGUCGAAGAUACCAGCUGGCUGCAACUGUUUAUUAAAAACACAGCACUCUGCAAACACGAAAGUGGAGGUAUAGGGUGUGAUGCCUGCCCGGUGCUGGAAGGUUAAUUGAUGGUGUCAUCGCAAGAGAAGCACCUGAUCGAAGCCCCAGUAAACGGCGGCCGUAACUAUAACGGUCCUAAGGUAGCGAAAUUCCUUGUCGGGUAAGUUCCGACCUGC
rnacentral:rRNA from 1 species